rnacentral:rRNA from 1 species
AUACGGAGGGUGCAAGCGUUACUCGGAAUCACUGGGCGUAAAGCGCGCGCAGGCGGCCAUUUAAGUUGGAUGUGAAAGCCUACGGCUCAACCGUAGAACUGCAUCCAAAACUAUUUGGCUAGAGUGUGGGAGAGGAAGAUGGAAUUAGUUGUGUAGGGGUAAAAUCCGUAGAGAUAACUAGGAAUACCAAAAGCGAAGGCAAUCUUCUGGAACACUACUGACGCUGAGGCGCGAAAGCGUGGGGAGCAAACGGGAUUAGAUACCCCAGUAGUCC